GUCUGGAAUCCCGAAGAGAUUUGGGAGUGCUCGCAAGAGAACCGGAACACAGGUGCUGCAUGGCUGUCGUCAGCUCGUGUCGUGAGAUGUUGGGUUAAGUCCCGCAACGAGCGCAACCCUUGCCAUUAGUUGCUACAUUUAGUUGGGCACUCUAAUGGGACUGCCGGUGACAAACCGGAGGAAGGUGGGGAUGACGUCAAGUCCUCAUGGCCCUUAUGGGUAGGGCUUCACACGUCAUACAAUGGUCGGGACAGAGGGUUGCCAAGCCGCGAGGUGGAGCCAAUCUCAGAAACCCGAUCGUAGUCCGGAUCGCAGUCUGCAACUCGACUGCGUGAAGUCGGAAUCGCUAGUAAUCGCGGAUCAGCAUGUCGCGGUGAAUACGUUCCCGGGUCUUGUACACACCGCCCGUCACACCAUGGGAGUGGGUUUCACCAGAAGUAGGUAGCCUAACCGCAAGGAGGGCGCUUACCACGGUGAGAUUCAUGACUGGGGUGAAGUCGUAACAAGGUAGGCGUAGUGCU
rnacentral:rRNA from 1 species